AACGAACGCUGGCGGCAUGCCUAACACAUGCAAGUCGAACGAGACCUUCGGGUCUAGUGGCGCACGGGUGCGUAACGCGUGGGAACCUGCCCUUAGGUUCGGAAUAACUCUCCGAAAUGGGUGCUAAUACCGGAUAAUUUCUUCGGACCAAAGAUUUAUCGCCUUUGGAUGGGCCCGCGUUGGAUUAGCUAGUUGGUAGGGUAAAAGCCUACCAAGGCGACGAUCCAUAGCUGGUCUGAGAGGAUGAUCAGCCACACUGGGACUGAGACACGGCCCAGACUCCUACGGGAGGCAGCAGUGGGGAAUAUUGGACAAUGGGCGAAAGCCUGAUCCAGCAAUGCCGCGUGAGUGAUGAAGGCCUUAGGGUUGUAAAGCUCUUUUACCCGGGAUGAUAAUGACAGUACCGGGAGAAUAAGCUCCGGCUAACUCCGUG
rnacentral:rRNA from 1 species